CCCUUAGAUGUUCUGGGCUGCACGCGCGCUACACUGAAGCGUUCAACGAGUAUUCACCUUGCCCGGGAGGGUUGGGUAAUCUUUUGAAAACGCUUCGUGAUGGGGAUAGAUUAUUGCAAUUAUUAAUCUUCAACGAGGAAUUCCUAGUAAGCGCGAGUCAUCAGCUCGUGCUGAUUACGUCCCUGCCCUUUGUACACACCGCCCGUCGCACCUACCGAUUGAAUGGUCCGGUGAAGCCUCCGGAUUGGCGCGCACCUCGGUGCCGCCGAGAAGUUGGCUAAACCUUACCAUUUAGAGGAAGGUGAAGUCGUANCA
rnacentral:rRNA from 1 species